UCCAGACUCCUACGGGAGGCAGCAGUCGGGAAUAUUGCGCAAUGGAGGAAACUCUGACGCAGUGACGCCGCGUAUAGGAAGAAGGUUUUCGGAUUGUAAACUAUUGUCCACAGGGAAGAAAAAAGACUGUACCUGUGAAGAAAGCCCCGGCUAACUACGUGCCAGCAGCCGCGGUAAUACGUAGGGGGCAAGCGUUAUCCGGAUUUACUGGGUGUAAAGGGGGCGCAGACGGCAGCGCAAGCCAGGAGUGAAAGCCCGGGGCCCAACCCCGGGACUGCUCUGGAAACUGCGGCGCUGGAGUACGGGAGGGGCAGGCGGAAUUCCUGGUGUAGCGGUGAAAUGCGUAGAUAUCAGGAGGAACACCGGCGGCGAAGGCGGCCUGCUGGACCGUGACUGACGUUGAGGCUCGAGAGCGUGGGGAGCAAACAGGAUUAGAUACCCGAGUA
rnacentral:rRNA from 1 species